rnacentral:rRNA from 1 species
GACGAACGCUGGCGGCGUGCUUAACACAUGCAAGUCGAACGGAAAGGCCCUGCUUGUGUGGGGUGCUCGCGUGGCGAACGGGUGUGUAACACGUGAGUAAGCUGCCCUUGACUUUGGGAUAACUUCAGGAAGCUGCGGCUAAUACCGGAUAGGAGCUCCUGCUGCAUGGUGGGGGUUGGAACGUUUCGGCGGUUGUGGGUGGACUGGCGGCUAAUUAGCUUGUUGGUGGGGUAGCGGCUUAGCAAGGCUUUGAUGGGUAGCCGGCAUGAGAGGUGGACCGGCCACCUGAGUACUGAGGGACGGCGCAGAGGCGUAUAGGAGGCAGCAGGCGGGAGCAUUGCACAGUCGGCGGAAGUGUGAUGAAACAGCGCCCCGUGCGGGAAGACGGCCUUCGGGGGGUAAAGCGCUUUAAGCUGUGACGAAGCGUGUGUGACGGUAAUGAGAGAAGAAGCACCGGCUAACUACGUG